UCCUAAAAUGUCUCUGGAUUUGCCGUCA
rnacentral:piRNA from 1 species